rnacentral:rRNA from 1 species
UUCCUUAGUAGCGGCGAGCGAACAGGAAAUAGCCCAGCACUGAAUCCCGUCGUUGUAACGGCGGCGGGAGAUGUGGUGUUCGGGAGGUUCCGCUUUCUUGUCGUCGUCCACUCCUGUCCAAGUUCGUCUUGAACGGGGCCCAUUUCCCAGAGAGGGUGCCAGGCCCGUAGCGACGGAGGACGGCGGCGAGAGGAACUCUCCUCAGAGUCGGGUUGCUUGAGAGUGCAGCCCUAAGCGGGUGGUAAACUCCAUCUAAGGCUAAAUAUUACCGCGA